rnacentral:rRNA from 1 species
AUUGAACGCUGGCGGCAUGCUUUACACAUGCAAGUCGAACGGUAACAGGCCGCAAGGUGCUGACGAGUGGCGAACGGGUGAGUAAUGCAUCGGAACGUGCCCAGUCGUGGGGGAUAACUACUCGAAAGAGUAGCUAAUACCGCAUACGAUCUAUGGAUGAAAGCGGGGGACCGUAAGGCCUCGCGCGAUUUGAGCGGCCGAUGUCAGAUUAGGUAGUUGGUGGGGUAAAGGCUCACCAAGCCAACGACCUGUAGCUGGUCUGAGAGGACGACCAGCCACACUGGGACUGAGACACGGCCCAGACUCCUACGGGAGGCAGCAGUGGGGAAUUUUGGACAAUGGGCGCAAGCCUGAUCCAGCAAUGUCGCGUGCAGGAAGAAGGCCUUCGGGUUGUAAACUGCUUUUGUACGGAACGAAACGGCUCUGGUUAAUACCCGGGGCUAAUGACGGUACCGUAAGAAUAAGCACCGGCUAACUACGUG